GUGUUCGUGUGCAGAAGUUCCACACACUCUGAGCACAUCGACAUGUUUUUAAAGUGGAUUACAAGCUGUCUUUUAUUUUUAACUUUAAUUUAUCUCACGUAUACAGAUGCAGUGAAUGAUUUCAGAGCAACUGAAGGAGAAACUGUCUAUCUUCCCUGCCACUCACCCCCUAUUGACAGUGUACAAGUUUCUGUAGAGUGGACAAAACAUAGUACAAACAGCACUACAAACCUCACAGUACAAACAGUACAAAUAGUACCAAAUAUUUGUCAAUGGAUUAUUAAUAACAUUACUGGAUCUCUCAUUGGAGACUGCAUUCCUCAUUUCAAAUUCAACAACAAGUCUUUUACACUAAGUAUUGAAAAUGUUCAGCUCAGUGACUCUGGUCAUUACAGCUGUAAAACAACAAGAGUAAUACCACCACCAACAUUAGACAAUACCACAAAUGUGACACUCCAAGUUGAAGUUCGUCCACAUCUGUCUCUGCAGAAACUGAACAGCAGUAAUGUCACUUGUGUCCAUCUGCUCUGCUCUAUGGAGGGUCUGACGACUGAGCUGGUGAGCUUCACCUGGAGUCGAGAGGGUCAAAUGUUACUUCAUCUAUUCACAUCUUAUGCCACGAACAGUGAGCUGCGUCUGUGUAAACCUGACUGGAGUGACGGAGACACAAUCACCUGUUACGCCAGCUACUCAGACACCCAAACUAAAAGAAGUAUACACCUGCCCUCACAGAGUGAUUCUGACAAAGUUGUCCAGCUGCUGAUCAUCUCAUGCAGUGCUGCUGCAGGCCUCAUCCUCUGCAUCAUCCUUACCGUUGUUAUUUGCAAAUGCAGAAAGCAAGAUGAAAAUGGAUCUAUAGUGUUCAGCAAUAAAGUCUAUGAGAACUUCAGUUUCGCCAUGGCCCGUCAGAACACACAGUCCAAUGAUAAACCACAGCCAGAAGAGUGUAUUUAUGAGAACUAACUGCUGCUGCUUAUAUAACCUUUGCUUUAAAGCCAGAUCGGCCCAGUUUUUACGAAGGCAGUAUGAUGUAGGCAAAAGUGUGUUAAGUGGUUUAGCGAAGAUAUUUGAUGGUGCACUGCGAAUGUGAAGCAAAAGCUUUCUGUAUUGUUUACAAUGCCUUCACUGACUUCAAACACUGUAAGCAGGCACUUUAAACAAUCAGUAACUGUUUUCGUUGUGUUUAAGCACUGUAGGUGCACUAAACUAUUAUGUCUUCUAAAGUAAACUGAAUUAAAUUAUGAUAAUGAGCAAGGAUCUCGUAUCCGUUUUCUUUCAUACAAUGCAAAGGCAUUAUUAAAAUCUCUCUUUGCACUUUUUGUUGUAUGAAUUUUCUUUUUUGUAUGGGGCUAAUUAUACUGUAAUAUUUUAUUACUUGUAAAUAAAUCACACAUUGUAUGUCUUUUGUGUCAAAGCCUCUCUGCUGUCAAACCAAACUGCAGAAAAUAAUUUCACACUUAUUCACAUCUGUCCUCUGGUCAACUUUGGGUUGCAAUGAAAAAUGCAAAAAUCACUAUAUCACUUAAUAAUGGUCAUAGUUGGGGCAAAGUUAUCUUCUAUUGUGAGUACAUGCCUAUGGUUUAUUUAGUGAAAAUGUACAGUAUAUAUUUGCAAACUUUGCUCCUUUUAGUACAUGGGUGCCUCACAAAUCUGACACGAAAUGUUUCUAAUUUGGUCUAAAUGGACAUUUAGAUUGUGUUCUUAUUUAUUUUAUUCAAUGUUUGUAUUUACAGUAUGUAUGAGUCAGUCAUUUAUUAGAAUGUUUCUAUUAAUUUCCUCUUUGUACAAUGUAUAAUAAAUACAAAAAGGUAUUUGAUGGGAUUCAGAUAUGUUACUGUCGACUGUUCAUAACCAAUGCUUUACUUAAAGAGGAAAUCACCACCUUAACCCAUUUCACAGCAUGAGACACUUAAGCAAAGC
ensembl:lncRNA protein amalgam-like